rnacentral:rRNA from 1 species
UACAGAGGGUGCUAGCGUUAAUCGGAUUUACUGGGCGUAAAGCGUGUGUAGGCGGUUCGUUAAGUCGGAUGUGAAGGCCCUGGGCUCAACCUAGGAAUUGCAUUCGAUACUGGCGGCUAGAGUACGGUAGAGGGCGGCGGAAUUCCGGGUGUAGCGGUGAAAUGCGUAGAGAUCGGAAAGAACACCAACGGCGAAAGCACUCUGCUGGGCCGACACUGACACUGAGAGACGAAAGCUAGGGGGAGCGAAUGGGAUUAGA